GACGAACGCUGGCGGCGUGCUUAACACAUGCAAGUCGAACGGAAAGGCCCUGCUUUUGUGGGGUGCUCGAGUGGCGAACGGGUGAGUAACACGUGAGUAACCUGCCCUUGACUUUGGGAUAACUUCAGGAAACUGGGGCUAAUACCGGAUAGGAGCUCCUGCUGCAUGGUGGGGGUUGGAAAGUUUCGGCGGUUGGGGAUGGACUCGCGGCUUAUCGGCUUGUUGGUGGGGUAGGGGCUUACCAAGGCUUUGGGGGGUAGCCGGCCUGGGAGGGUGACCGGCGACCUUGGGCCUGAGGUACGGCCCAGACUCCUACGGGAGGCAGCGGUGGGGAAUAUUGCGCAGUGGGCGGGCGCGUGAUGCAGCGGCGCCGCGUGCGGGAUGCCGGCCUUCGGGUUGUAAACCGCUUUCGCCUGUGACGAAGCGUGAGUGACGGUAAUGGGUAAAGAAGCACCGGCUAACUACGUG
rnacentral:rRNA from 1 species